rnacentral:tRNA from 1 species
GCGAAGGUGGUGGAACUGGCAGACACGCUAGACUUAGGAUCUAGUGCCGCAAGGCGUGUGGGUUCGACUCCCACCCUUCGCACCA